UGCCAGUCUGUGUCUUUUGAUUGGUGCAUUUAGCCCAUUUACAUUUAGGGUUAAUAUUGUUAUUUGUGAAUUUGAUACUGCCAUUUUGAUGCUAGCUGGCUGUUUUGCCUGUUAUUUGAUGUAGAUUCUUCAUUGUGUUGAUGCUCUUUAGCAUUUAGUGUGUUUUUGAAAUUGCUGGUACUAGUUGUUUGUUUCUAUGUGUAGUGCCUCUUUCAGGAUCUCUUGUAAAGCAGGCCUGGUGGGGACAAAAUCUCUGAGUAUUUGCUCGUUCGCAAAGGAUUUUAUUUUUCCUUCACUUAUGAAGCUUAGUUUGGCUGGAUAUGAAAUUCUGGGUGUAAAGUUCUAUUCUUUAAGGAUGUUGAAUAUUGGUCCCCACUCUCUUCUGGCUUGUAGUGUUUCUGCCAAGAGAUCUGCUGUGAGUCUGAUGGGUUUCCCUUUGUGGGUGACCCGACCUUGCUCUCUGGCUGCUCUUAGUAUUUUCUUCUUUAUUUUAACUCUGGUGAAUCUGACGAUUAUGUGCCUUGGGGUUGCUCUUCUUGUGGAAUAUCUUUGUGGUGUUCUCUGUAUUUCCUGGAUUUGAGUGUUGGCCUGCCUUGCUAGGUUGGGGAAAUUUUCCUGGAUAAUAUUCUGAAGAGUAUUUUUCAGCUUGAAUUUGUUCUCUUCGUGACAUUCUGGUAUACCUAUCAAACGUAGGUUAGGUCUCUUCACAUAGUUCCACAUUUCUUGGAGACUUUGUUCAUUCCUUUUUGCACUUUUUUUUCUAAUCUUGGUUUCUCGUUUUAUUUCAUUGAGUUGAUCUUCGACUUCUGAUAUUCUUUCUUUUGCUUGGUCAAUUCGGCUGUUGAAACUUGUGCAUGCUUCACGAAGUUCUUGUGUUGUGUUUUUCAGCUCUUUCAAUUCAUUCAUAUUCCUCUCUAAGUUAUCCAUUCUUGUUAUCAUUUCCUUGAAUUUUUUUUCAAAUCUUCUUUCAAGGUUCUUAGUUUCUUUGCAUUGAUUUAGAACAUGUUCUUUUAGCUUACAGAAGUUUCUCAUUACCCACCUUCUGAAGUCUAAUUCUGUCAUUUCGUCACAGUCAUUCUUUAUCCAGCUUCGUUCCCUUGCUGGUGGGGAGUUUUGGUGCUUUGUAGGAGGCGAGGUGUUCUGGUUUCAGGUGUUUUCCUCCUUUUUGCGCUGAUUUUUUCCCAUCUUUGUGGAUUUUAUUUACCUGUCAUCUGAGUGUUUGCUGACUUUUUGAUUGGGUCUUUGAGUAGACACCCAGAUUGUUGAUGAUGAAGUAUUUCUGUUACUUGGUUUUCCUUCUACCUGUCUAGCCCCUCUGCUGUACAACUGCUGAGGUCCACUCCAGGACCUGCUUUUCUGGGUACACCUGUAGCAGCUGCAGAACAAUGAGGGAUGCUCCAGUUUCUUCUUCUGCUAUCUUUGUCUCAGAUUGAUGCCCACCAAAUGUCAGUUUGAUCAGUUCUUUUUGAGGUGACUCUUUGGAUAUACAGUGGUCAGGGAGCUGCUUGAGGGGAUAGUCUGUACUUUAUAGGAGCUGAAGUGCUGAGCUGUGAGCUUUGUUAUUCAUUCAGGGCUGUUAGGCAGGUACAUUUAAGUCUGCUGCAGCAGAACUCAUAAAACCCCUUUUUUUCCUCAGAUGCUCUGUCUCAGGGAGUUAGAGCUUUCUUUAUGAGUGUCUGUUGCACUGUCAUGCCCAGCUAGGAGGCAGUCUAGUCACUAUUUGCCUGCCGAGGCUCCACCCUGCUGGCAUGGUGUCUGCUCUGUUGCUGCGGGCUCUGCCCUGAAGCCACAGUCUCUGCCCUGCUGUCAUGGGCUCUGCCUUGCGGCGAAGUCUCUCUGUUAUGGUGGGUUGCCUUGGCAACAGCAGGCUGCGUCAGCAAUGGGAGUGUACCUCAGUAGGGGUGGAUUGCCUCAGUAAUGGUGGAUGCCCAUCCCCCACCGAGCUGCACUGUCCUUGGUUCAGCUGUGCCAGCAGUGAAACUCUCCACUUGGAGCAUUUCGAAUCGCCAUUUUCUUUGUCCCUGUGGGGGUGAAACCCACAGAGCCUGCUCACCUGGCUCCCUGCCUCAGAGUGCCUUUUUUUUUCUUUUUUUUAAGUUGAACAGUUGGCUCUCUCCCAGGUGUUUCAGUUGCCUGCUGUUAUGGCACCAGGAUCUGUGUGAUUUCCCAUGCAGCGACCCACUGUGCUGGCUCAAACACUGCUUCCCAGGAGUCUCCUGGUCUGGCUCACUGUCCAAGUCCCAUUUAAUCAGAUGGAUAUGCUAAUAUGCCCUUCCAAAUCUCAGAUUGCCAGUUUAACAGGGCACCCAAACCAGUGUGUUUUGGGCGGAGUGUUGCAGUGUUUCUGCGCUGCAGCGCCGGCCAAAGCAGCUGCACCAGCCAAAACAGCUGCACUGGCAUCCUGUGUCUCUCCUACACCUGGGAAUUUCCCUGUUCUGCGGGCAACAAAGAUUUGUCUGGAAAUGCUGCUUUGACUCACCCUCUGCACAUUCACUGAGAGCUGCAAUCCUGAGUUGUUCUUUCUGUGCCAUUUUGAAUCCCAUUCCCAGGAAUAAAUGUUACUCGAUCAUGUUGUAUAAUUCUUCUAUGAUGCUGUUGAAUUCUCAUUAGCAUUUUCUUGAGCACUUUUGCCUCUGUAUUGAUCGGGAAUAGUGGUGUGUUUUCUUCUGCUGCUUUGUUUGUCUUUGGUAUCAGUAAUGCUCACCUCACAUAAUAAGUUUAGAGGUAUUCUUUCCUUAGUAUUUUGGAAGAAGAUGAGCAGGAUUGAUAUUGGUUCUGUAGAUGUUUGGUACAAGUCACCCAUGAAGCCAUCUGUUCUUGUACUUUCUUGUCAAGUUUUUGGUCACUGAUUCAUCUUCUAUUUCAUUUAUUUCUGUUCUAACCUUUAGUAUUUCCUUCCUUCUCCUAGCUUUGGGUUUAGGCUGUUCUUCUCUUUCUAAUAAUUUAAGGUACAAAGUUUGGAUUGUGGUUUGAGAGCUUUUCAUUUUUUUUCUAUCUGAGAGAGGGUCUUGCCACUUGCUGAGUUAGUCUCAAACUCCUGGGUUCAAGCAAUCUCCUGGCCUCAGCUUUCCAAGUAGGUGGGAUUAUAGAACAGUAUCACCAAGCCUGGCUGCUGCUGCCUUUUUUUUGUUUUUGGGGGUGGGUAAAUGGAGUCUAGCUGUGUCUCCCAGGCUGGAGUGUAGUGGUACAAUCUUGGCUCACUGCAACCUCCUUCUCAUGGGUUCAAGCCUCAGCCUCCAAAGUAGCUGAGAUUACAGGUGCUUGCCACCAUGCCUGGCUAAUUUUAUGUUUUUAGUAGAGAUGGGGUUUUUCCAUGUUAGCCAGGCUGGUCUUAAACUCCUGACAUCAGGUUAUCUGCCUGUUUCAGCCCCCCAAAGUGCUGAAAUUACAGAUUUGAGCCACCACCUCCAGCAAGCUUUUUUUAUAUGUAAGCAUUACAGCUAUAAAUUUCCCUCAUAGCACUGCUUUUGCUGCAUUCCAUAAGAUCUGAUACAUUGUUUUGUCUCAAAAUACUUUAUAAUUUUCCUUAUUAUUUUUCUUUGAUUCAUAGUUUUUUAGUAUGUUGUUGAGUUCCCAUAGAUUUGUGAAUAUUCCAGUUUUCCUUCUGCUGUUAUUACUUUAGUCCUUUAAAAUGAAUUAAAUCUUGCUUUCAGGCCUAAUAUAUAAUCUUUCCCAGAGAACAUUCUACAUGUACUUUGAAGAAUGUGUAUUCUUCUGCUGGGUUAACUCAUCUGUAUAUAUCUGGUAGGUCCAAAUCUUCUAUAGUAUCAUUCAAGCUCUCUGUUUCCUUCUUGAUCUUCUCUCUGGGUGUUGUAUUUAUUAUUGAAAGGUAGUCAUUGGGCCAGGCACAGAGGCUCAUGCCUGUAAUCCCAGCACUUUGGGAGGCCAAGGUGGGUGGAUCACUUGAGGUCAGGAGUUCAAGAUCAGCCUGGCCAACGUGGUGAAUCCCUGUUACUACUAAAAAUAGCUGGGCAUGGUGGCAUACACCUGUAAUCUCAGCUACUCUGAGGCUGAGGCACGGGAAUCACUUGAAUUCAGGAGGUUGCAGCUGCACUCCAGCCUGGGAAACAAAGAUUCUGGGGGGGAAAAAAAGUGAGCUGUUGAAGUUUUCUACACUUUUCAUAGAACUAUCUGUUUCUCCUUUCAUUCUGUCAGUGUUUGCAUCAUAUAUUUAGGAGCUCUGAGGUGCAUUGCAUGUACCUUUAUAACUAUUGCAUCUUUUUGGUGAAUGGACCGUUAUCUCUUACAACAGCUUUUGACCUUAAGUCUAUUUAGUCUGAGAUUAAUCCAGCUCCUCUUCUUUUUUUCAGUUACCAUUUCCAUGAAGUAUCUUUUUUCAUCCUAUGUGUAAGUCUCUUACUGUCUUUAGAUGGUGGAAAUAAUUUGCAUUUUUAAAGAUUAUCAUCUGAUGAAACUCAAUAGCCUGGUGGGUGACUGUGUCAUGAGGCCCACAGCCAGGGACUAAGGUUGCAGUUCCUCUGGGAGGCCUCCAGUACACCAUUUACAGGACCUCCUUGUGCCACUCUGUGGAUUGUUUUCUGCUUGGAUUAUGGUUUCUCUCUCAUUUCCUUCCUUCUGCCUUCCUUUGUGUUUGAUUUUUUUGUGUGACACACUUAGAAUGCCUUCUCACUUCCUUCUGUGUACAUUCUGUAGGUAUUUUCUUUGUAAUUACCAUGAGGAGUAUAUCCUGAAAUUAUAGCAAUUGAUUUUUUAAAUUUACUUAUUUUGAGACGGAGUUUCGCUCUUGUUACCCAGGCUGGAGUGCAAUGGCACGAUCUCGGCUCACUGCAACCUCCGCCUCCUGGGUUCAGGCAAUUCUCCUGCCUCAGCCUCCUGAGUAGCUGGGAUUACAGGCAUGCGCCACCAUGCCCAGCUAAUUUUUUGUAUUUUUAGUAGAGACAGGUUUUCACCAUGUUGACCAGGAAGGUCUCCAUCUCUUGACCUCGUGAUCCACCCGCCUCAGCCUCCCAAUGUGCUGGAAUUACAGGAGUGAGCCACCGCACCUGGCCCUUGAUUUUAAACUAAUUCUCCAAGCUUCCCGUGGAGCCACCUCCUGUCUUGGCACUUCAUGAGUCCAAUGCUGCUUCCCUAGAGGAUCUGGUUGGUAGACCGUGACCUCAAUUCCUGCCUCUAAGCCUCACUUUUUUUCAUCAGCCACCACGUUUUGGCACUAGAAGAGUGCUUUUAAGAGCACACUCAUCAGUGGAUGCUGAAUUCACAACCUGGCCAUUUGGAUGUUAACUAAUGCUUUAUGCUGCGGAGUCCCUGCAACUCACCAACCCGUGCCAGAACUCACUGGAGCUCAGGGAGCACAGAGGUCCUGCAGCUGGGGGCAGGAAGCAACUUCAACACCCUCGCUGCCAGUUGAAUCCAUUUUUUGGCACCCCCACCGGAUCCCACUCACCAGGAAUAAGAUCUCACUCUGUUGCCCAGGCUGGAGUACAGUGGCACCAUCUUGGCUCAUUGCAGCCUCUACCUCCUGGGCUGAAGCAAUUCUGGAUGAAUAGACAUAAGACUGAGGCUGAAGUGCCAGCCCUGGAUCCAUUCCUAAAUGGCUAUGCUAUUGGGAGCAAGUUCAUCUCUUUGGGGAUGAGCUCAAGGUACUCAGAUCACCACUUGCCAGACUCUGGUGCUCUCUCUGGACAUCCCACCUGGCCUGGGCACCCACCUUGUGGCUGAAGGCUGGGAUCUGUGUGCAGUGGAGCUCAUGGCCCAGCUCCAGUCUGUAGGCGCCAUCUGAGUCGCUCUCUGUCUGCAGCUUCUGGCUGGUGCUGCACUGGUGUGCUGACUGCUUUGCCUGAACUGUGAGGAUUGAUAAAGGGACCUCUGCCCUCCUCUGCCAGGCAGCCCUCCACCAGCACUCCAAGAGGAGGAGGGCUCAGCCCAGCCUGGCCUCAGCCAUGUACUCCCCGCCCUGUGCUCUGCUUCAACUGUCACUCCAUUAGAACCUGUCCAUGGGGAGGUCUUAAGAGAUGGAUAAAUGUCCCCUCAACAGACACAUCUUUUCUUUUUAAUGAGCAGGGACUAAGUCCUACUCAGAGCCCACAGAAUGACUAAUGGAAAAUCCUGUGGUGACAGCAUAUCUUAGCUCACAGAACCACAGCCACAGGAAAUGGGGCAGGCCCUGCCACCUCCACCUGCCCCACAGCCAGGCACGCAGUGCCCUACCCAGGAGGCUGUACUGGAUGCUCAUGAAGUUGGUGCAGAGCCAGUCCCGCUGCUGCAGCAGGCCAAGGGCACGCAGCCCCACCAGCCCUGGCAUGAAUACCUUGGCAUCCAGGGCAGCCACCCACCAUCCAUCCUCCUUUUUCCUUUCCAGCAGUACUGCAGGGACAGAGCAGGCAGUGAAAGGGUCAGCCCCCAGGGACCAACACCUCCAGCCCCAGGCAAAGAGGGGACUCGGGAUACCUCAGGGGCCUUGGGUUGGGGGACUCCUUGAAGAGUCAACACGUACCCUGCUCAGCAGCCCACAGACAGGCCUGAUCAUGGUUCACUGCAGCCUUGACCUCCCAGACUCAAUCCAUCCUGUUACCUCAGCCUCCCAAGUAGCUGAUACUACAGACAUGUGCCACCACCUUGGCUAAUUUUUGUAUAUAUGUGUGUUUGUGUGUGUGUGUGUGUGUGUAUAUAUAUAUAUAUAUAUAUAUUUUUUUUUUUUUUGUAUAAACAGAGGUCUCACUGUGUUGUCCAGGCUGGUCUUGAACUCCUGGGCUCAAGCAAUUCUCUUGCCUUGGGUUUCCAAAGUUCUGGGAUUAUAGGCAUGGGACACUGUGCUUGGCUUAAGAAUAAAGUAGAAUGAGGCUGGGCACAGUGGUUCAUGCCUGUAAUCCCAGCACUUUGGGAGGCCAAGGCAGGCAGAUUUCCUGAGGUCAGGAGUUCAAGACCAGCCUGGCCAACAUAGUGAAACCCCGUCUCUACAAAAAUACAAAAAAAUAAAUAAACAACAAGGUGUGGUGGUGGGCACCUGUAAUCCCAGCUACUCAGGAGGCUUAGGCAGGCGAAUCACUUGAACCCAGGAGGCAGAGGCUGUGGUGAGCCAAGAUUACACCAUUGCAUCCAGUCCCAACAACACUGUGAGACUCUGUCUGAAAAAAAAAAAAAAGUAGAAUGAAACAAAAUCCAAUAGGACAGAUGACAGAAUUAAUCACACGUCGUAAGUUGUAGGGUAAAUUUCACCUUCUGAAGCUUCUGCAACACUGAAGGUCAUCUAAAACACACAGGUGGAAAUGGGCCAGCUGUUAUGACUCCCAAACACCCACACGAGGUGGUCAACAGCCACUGCUCCAAGUGCCCCCAGCCCCAGCUCCUGUCCUUACCUUGGAAUCUUUCAGAACACAUAAGCAGCACACCCAGGCGUCACCACCCUGGCUCUGACACAGGGCCAGCACCUGCUCAGCCUGUGUGUGUGUUUUAAAUGCCCCGUGUGUUUUAGGUCAAAAUGUUACAUAUGUUUCUUAUCAUGGGUGAAAAUAAAAACUGCCCAAAAUCUGCUAUUUUAAGGUUUGUGGGGGCAGUUGGUUUUGGGAGGUUCUGGGGGCUCACACUGAGCCUGCGUCUGUCCUUAGAUGAGAUGUUGAUAUUGAGAGGCUGGGGUGAUGAGGACCAUCAGGAGACAUUUGGCCCACAUCCUAGCCUGGCCAUGGAGGAGACAGGGCACAAGGGGUUUCAUCUCCUACCUGUCACGUGGGACUGGUCACUCAGCAGAUAGCUCAGCGAUGCAGAGAGGCCAGCUUACUGCCCGCCUGCCAUGUGAGGUUCCCUAUAAAGAUGACAGGGCUGCCCCCAUCACCAGUUUCAUCUCCAGCUGUGCCUGGAACCACUCAGCCUUGCCGACCAUGGGUGACUGCAGGUCUCUAGCUCUGAAAAGGCUGUGGUGUCACCUGGAAUGACAGGCUUGGCCAGCAAGCCCAUCCAUGAUCACACAAGCUGGGACUGGAGAGAGGGCAAAAGACAGCCCAGCUAAUGGAUUUCUAUGCCGAUCCUUUCCCAAUUUUUGGUUUUUCUUGAGACAGAGUCUCAUUCUGUCACCCAGGCUGGAGUGCAGUGGCAGGAUCCAGGUUCACUGCAAACUUCGCCUCCCGGGUUCAAAGGAUUCUCCUGCCUCAGCCUCCCAGGUAGCUGGGAUGACAGAUGCACACCAUAAUGCCCAUCUAAUUUUUGUAUUUUUAGUAGAGAUGGGGUUUCACCAUGUUGGCGAGGCUGGUCUCAAACUCCUGAGCCCAAGUGAUUCACCCGCCUUGGCCUCCCAAGUGCUGAGAUUACAGGUGUGAACCACUAUGCGCAUCCCUUCCCCAGUUUUUUAAACUCCGGAUUUCUCAAAAUAAGAAAACUGUGUUAUAAACUCAGACAUAAACCCAAAGGAUUCCUCUUCUCUCCUUGACAACCCGCUCGUUGGAUCCAUCAGGAACUCAGUCGACCAUCGCUGUGGAAUGUGACUAGAGUCAACCCCAUCUGCCACCUCUGCUGUACACCAGCUCCAGUCCUGGUUAUCGAGCUUGCCUGACUGCAACAUCCUCCUGGCUCUCCCAGCUCGCAUUCUGCCACUGGCAACUGAUAUCCACGUGGUGACCAGACAUGUCCAGUGAUGGCGCACUAGCAUUUCUUACAGUACAAUCCAAAGUUUUUGAGGCCCAUGAAGCCAGAACUUUGUUGGUCACUGGUACAGACACUUGCAGGUGGGCCACGGGGACAGCUCACUACACUCCAAGGCUCCACAUGGGAGAUACUCUAGAAAAGCCAUGAGCAACUACAAAUAUCAUCUUUGAUGGCCCUGCCAACCUGCAGGCACACCCCACACACCCCUCCGAUAGCCACUAGCUAGUCAGUUCACCUAAAAGAUGUCCAAACAAUACUCGCUAUUACCAGACCAUCACUACUUAAUGCUGUUUCCCUGAUCCCCACCGACGUGUGUGCAGAUGUGUGU